ACAUCUUUUUCCAGCAUUCCUUUCUGACCUUUAGAAUGAAGUUCAUCACAAGCCUCUUCCUCUUAUCCCUUCUAUUUCCUGUUGACAGCAUGAGUUUUGUGGAUAGUGUUAAGUGUAUCUUUGAAUUUGUUGGGAAAGGUUGGUAACAAAAUUAUAAGAUGGUGUAAGGAUGCUUGUAAAGAAAAAAUAUAAAUUGAAGAUGCAGACAGCAUGGAUGAGCCCUCUGAAAGUAUUCAUGGAACUGAAAUUAUCAGAGUUGAGACUUGGAUCUGGGAUUGCUUCCUCGGGGAGCUGACUCCCUUGAUAGAAGAGGAUCACAACAGUUGAUGUAGAGGUGGUAAAUGAGCCCAAUCAGAUCAAACCACCAAUCAAGAUCCCAAAUUUUAAGCAGGCCUUGCCUUCUUGCUCCCUCUUCUAUGUAGCCUGUGAGCUCUUAUUGGAGUACCCAUGUCAGUCCUCUAUCCUGGUUGUGCUGGAU
rnacentral:lncRNA from 1 species